GCGAAUAGGUUGCAUAAAUGGAGUUGUCCUCAUUGUCAAGUGGGCGCGUCGUUAGUACGCGGAGACGGAACAAAAAAAAAACACAACGGAGGAGAGUGACUUAUUAGCGGUGGAAGACGGAGAUACCGUCGAUAGUGGUAUGCGGGGAGGACAUGCCAAAAAGAAGAAAGCAGCAGUGGAGAAUGUGGAGAUGGAUUCUUUGGAAGAGAGGCUCAUCGCAGAUGCUAGUGGUGUGUCCAUUGCCCCAACUUAAGUCCUGGCAAACAAAAAAAUUGCAGACGAGUUGGAGCUGUAUAAGCUGAAGGCAGGCUGGCAACAGGAGAGGAUUGAUGAGCUGACCAGGGAGAGAGAUUUUCUAAAAGAACAGUUGGCAGCAGUGGCCUGGCUCCCUGCCAGUGAGAGUGAGUCUGAGUCGGAGUCUGACUCUGUCUCUCCUGACUCGUCUCCGGACAAAAAGAAGAACAAGAAAGACAAGAAGAAGACAGGGAAAGGGAAAAAGAAGGUGAAAAAGUCAAAGGAAAAGGAGAUGGGCCCAAAGGCACGUCAGAGAGCCCUGAAUCCAAAGCAGGCAGUGCUCAGGUAUGAAAAAAUACUAAAGGCAUUCCAUAAAGGAGGGACCAUGAGUGCUGCGUUCUCAACCGUCAGUGUAGAUCGUAACACAGUGGUGGCCACUGCACCCAUCGCUGAGCUUUUUAUCGCUUCACCGAACAAGUACAAGGACAUCUUAGAUGGUCACAAAACUGGUCGUGUAAAACUAGCAAUGUUGGCUUCUGAGUGCUCUCUGGCAAUUGAACAAGAUUCUGCUAUAAAGGAGAAUGUGAAAACACUUAAAAACAACAACAAGCUGCUGCCCCUCACCAAGAAGUGAGCUUGGGCUAGGGUGUACUGUGAGAAUACCGGUCAAGUGGGCACACCAACAUAAAAUUUGAUAUUUUGUCCAAUAUUUAAAAAAAGUGUAAUAUUUGAAAAAUGUUACACUGGUGUGCUCAGUUGUCUUCACUUGACCGGUUACCUACUGGAAUAGCACUGUGAUCCACUUGUGUACUGUGAUCCACAAGUUCUUUUUCUUUGGAGUGUGAUUGCUCUUUGUUUACAAUUGUGUAUUUAAUUGGGCAGUUUUAUUUGUCAGAUAAGAAUGUUUUAUUUUUCCACCAUAUAGCCUUGGAGCUGUACACCAUGUAGCCUGUGAGCUAGGGUGUGUCAGUUGAUUUUUUUACACACUGUUAUCUAGUGUUAUCUAGCAAUAUUUGAAAACGGUAUAUUUGUUUUACUGUAAAGCACUUUGUGCACACACACACCAGAAGUAGGUGGCUGCCUGAUUCUGGGAUUCCGCCAAUGUAUUUCAAUGGGAAACGAGCGGCUUCCUCCUCCUGCAACUUUUACCGUUCGCAGGAGGAGGAAUGCACUCGUUUCCCAUUGAAAUGCAUUGGCGGAAUCCCAGAAUCAGGCAGCCACCUACUUCUGGUGUGUGUCUGCCCUAAAGGGAUAGUUCACCAGUUUACUUGAAAUGUUAAUGCUUCCAAAGUGUGUAUUUAAAAGAGCUUGUAUUUUAUUUUUCUAUUUUAUACGAUCACAGACUGUUAUUUGAAGAUGUUUGUCAAGUUUACUUGAAAUUUUAUAGAUUGUAUUUGUUUAAAGUGUGUAUUUAAAAGAGCUUGUAUU